UAAAUGUUUUUUCCUACGAUUCCGCAGUAGCAGCAGGCCCAUGUCAGGACAUGGCUUACAAUCCCGCAUUCGCUUGUUUCUCUACUUCGUGUACGGGAUUGGUAUGCCGGCAUCACUGACUGUCUUGCUUGCUUCGCUCGAGUUCUCCGAGUUCAAGAAAGACAACGAACUGAUGCCAAACAUACAAAAUGAAGGAUGCAAUGCUUUACGUGGUUACAGCAAAGCAAUUUAUCAGUACGGGCCCGUGUGCUUUUUAUUAGUUAUAAAUUUGAUAAUAUUUGGACUAACAAUCCGAAAGAUUCACAAAAUUAAAAAGCAGACCAGCGUAGUACUUCAAGCUGAAGAUAGUAAUACCCAUGUUAAUAAGGAAGAGCAAUGGGUCCAUAUCUAUGUGAAGAUAUUCGUUGUAAUGUUACUUGCAGAGAUGAAUUUCACCCUUGAUUUCAUGUCAAAGCUUUUUCCUUAUUAUGAACUGUUUAGCUACUACAGUGACCUUCACUAUCUGACCUUCCCUUUUAUUCUCUACUUGAAUUUUAAGUGUCAAGGGCAUUCAUGGAGAAAUUUAAUUAAAAGAUAUAUAUUAAAAUGGCCGACAUCAGAAAACACGGUGAGCACGACAGUACGAAGCCAGGAGAGCUCGCAAAAAGUCGACUAUUGUCGGAACAAUUCAGAAGUUGGGAGUCAGACGAACUCACGCGCACCCAUGAGCAAUAUAGAGAUUAUAAAGUGCUAACUUCGCAUCUAGAGUCUAAUUGGUCUGGUAUUACAGGGGCUUGAUUCUGCUAAGUGUUACUUAAGCGACAUUACGAUUGAUAUUCAAUUAAGAUUCACUUACCAUUGAAGCGUAUGUGGCAUUGGGCUAUUUUUUUUUUAUAAACGUAGUAUCCUUUUCUGUGAUUCAGUAAUGAGUCAUAUUGUCUGCAAAUGUUUUACAACCCUAUAGACCAAAUGUCAGAAGAACGGCAAGUCAUUGAAAUACGAUUCUUAUAUUAGUCUUAAAUUAGUAGCAGAAUGUCCGCUAAGGUUAAAAUAUGUAUUGAGUUAUCCUGUUAAUUUAAUUAAGUUAUGAACUUAGCAGAAUCAAGCUACUGAUCUGUCGAUACCAAGCGUCAUUAGAACCUCGUUACCCACCG